CCCCUCUCAGGAUCGCACCUGGAGACUUUCCAGUACCCUACCAGUCUCGUCUAUGGGAGGGAGAGUCAAGCAGAGUUACACCCAUUCCACUCCUAGCUUGGGCAGCAGCUGAUGAGUGGAAGGCAAUCUGCUACAAGU